rnacentral:rRNA from 1 species
GACGAACGCUGGCGGCGUGCUUAACACAUGCAAGUCGAACGGACAGGCCCUGCUCUUGUGGGGUUCUCGAGUGGCGAACGGGUGAGUAACACGUGAGUAAACUGCCCUUGUCUUUGGGAUAACUUCAGGAAACUGGGGCUAAUAUCGGAUAGGAGCUCUUGCUGCAUGGUGGGGGUUGGAAAGUUUCGGCGGUUGGGGAUGGACUCGCGGCUUAUCAGCUUGUUGGUGGGGUAGUGGCUUACCAAGGCUUUGACGGGUAGCCGGCCUGAGAGGGUGACCGGCCACAUUGGGACUGAGAUACGGCCCAGACGCCUACGGGAGGCAGCAGUGGGGAAUAUUGCACAAUGGGCGGAAGCCUGAUGCAGCAACGCCGCGUGCGGGAUGACGGCCUUCGGGGUGUAAACCGCUUUGGCCGGUGACGAAGCGUGAGUGACGGUAAUGGGUAAAGAAGCACCGGCUAACUACGUG